CUCCGGGUAUCCCAAACCCGCCUUGCUGUAGUGCUUAGGCGGGGAUCCCCAUCGCAUCCCUCUCUCCAAGGACCAUACCGUGCCUGUGUCGGGUAUCUCGCUUUCCACACAAUGGCGACUCUUUGAGAUUCUGCGUUUUUCCACCAGAAUGCGAUAUGUGGCAGAGGUUCCAGGAAUGUCACCAUCAGUGUGAGACACAGCUGCAGCUUCCCUUCUUUGUUCUUCUUGGUCCAGACCAUCCUUCUGACUAUCAUCUGAGACCUCAAGACGGGACUCAUGGUUAAGGCUACACUGCGGGGCCAACUCUGGGAACUCUGUGAAGAGCCAGUGGCGGUCUUUGAAGAAACGAUUCUCAUGGAUUGUAUGCUUCUUGUUCCUCGGUCCACUCCACAUUGUCCCUGUUGACGACAGAACGUGAUGGUCCAGUGUGGAAGAAGUGAUGUGGUGAAGAACAGAACAGAAACACAAACAUUCACAAUCUUGAGAUACUUCAAGGUUUUAGUGUGAUAUUCUGACUCAGGAUGGGUGAUCAUAUCUUAUAUAUUAAUAUCUGCAAGAGAGCAAACUAAUACAAUUAUGUUUGUUGGAUUAACUGCAUGAGAUGCAGUUUUCAAACAAUAUUAAAAUAUGUUAUUAAAAUCUCAUUACAUGA